CAGCACCCUGCUCACCCAGCACGAGGAGCGGGAGAUGAGGCAGAAGAAGCUGGAGAAGGUGAUGGAUGAGGAGGGUUUACCUGAUGAAGAGAAGAGCAUGAGGCGCUCUCUGCACGCUCGUAAGGAGACCGAGUUUCUGCGUCUCAAGAGGACCCGUCUUGGUCUCGAUGACUUUGAGUCCCUCAAAGUGAUCGGGAGAGGAGCAUUUGGAGAGGUGUGUCUAUAGACGUCUACCAUUUUACUAGCUGAAAUGAAAGCUCAUAAAUGAUCGUUAUAUAAUGCUCUUCAUUAGCAAGCCACAUAAAUAAUGCUUCCUCAUGGAGACGCAACUCACAAUUGAUUGUAAUAGAGUUUGACAUCAACAACACGAUACUCUAAUAA